AUACGAAGGGAGCGAGCGUUGUUCGGAAUCACUGGGCUUAAAGCGUGCGUAGGUGGAUUGGUAAGUAAGAAGUGAAAUCCCAGGGCUUAACCCUGGAACUGCUUUUUAGACUGCCUGUCUUGAAUUCGGUAGAGGUUGGUGGAACUCCCAGUGUAGAGGUGAAAUUCGCAGAUAUUGGGAAGAACACCGGUGGCGAAGGCGACCAACUGGACCGACAUUGACACUGAGGCACGAAAGCGUGGGUAGCAAACAGGAUUAGAUACCCUGGUAGUCCACGCCGUAAACCAUGUUUGCUAGCUGUUGGAGUCCUUAGGGCUUCGGCGGCGGAGGGAAACCAUUAAGCAAACCGCCUGGGGAGUACGGCCGCAAGGUUAAA
rnacentral:rRNA from 1 species